rnacentral:rRNA from 1 species
GCUUUGCGACGCUACCAUGCGAGUCGAACGAAGUAGCAAUACUUAGUGGCAGACGGGUGAGUAACAUGUGGGUAUCUACCCUUUGGCCUGGAAUAACACGAGGAAACUUGUGCUAAUACCGGAUAAGUCUUUACGGAGAAAGCUUUAUGCACCAUUGGAUGAGCCCGCACUUGAUUAGUUUGUUGGUAGGGUAAUGGCCUACCAAGACUAUGAUCAAUAGCUGAUUUGAGAGGAUGAUCAGCCACAUUGGGACUGAGACACGGCCCAAACUCCUACGGGAGGCAGCAGUGGGGAAUCUUGCACAAUGGAGGAAACUCUGAUGCAGCGAUGCCGCGUGAGUGAAGAAGGCCUUUGGGUUGUAAAGCUCUUUCGUCGGGGAAGAAAAUGACUGUACCCGAAUAAGAAGGUCCGGCUAACUUCGUGCCAGCAGCCGCGGUAAC